rnacentral:tRNA from 1 species
GGUGGCUCAGUGGUAGAGUGCUUGCCUUGUAUGCAUAAGGCCCUGGGUUCGAUUCCUCAGUACCA